UCUCAGCCUCAAAAGCUUCAAAGUCUCAGCCCAGCCCUGGACACAAGACAGGAUUAGUCUAGUGUGGAUUUUUGAGCCCCAAAGUUGAAGACUUUAGAUACCUGACAACAAGUGCACGUGUGAUCCAGAACACUAAUAAGUGCAUGUGUGAUCCAGGACACUAAUGCUACAGGUCCACAUAGGGACAGCUAUUGGGUGUGUUCCUGAUCAUAUGACACACAACACACAUACUUGGUAGGCCCUUUAUGAAGGUAAGCCUGGACAUGUUUACUGACUCCUUUGAAACCCUAAAUUCAGAAUAUAGGAAAUGUCACUCCAAAUUGGGCCUGCGGUCCAUUCCAUUCAGGCAAUAACCAUAACAGCCAACAUCUGCUAUACAGUGCUGGCAUUCUGUUAAGCAAUUCUCAAACAUUUUCUUAUUUAAUAUGGUUGUCCUCAUAACAGUCUUGUGGGAUGAACGUUAUUAUCAUCACUUUAUAGAUGAAUCUGGAACUUAGACAAAGUAAUUUGCCCAAGGUCACAUAUCUUACAUGCUACAGAAAAGGACUUGAACCCCAAUCCGUUUGAAACACAAGCCCAACUUUCUAACCAAUUAUACUCUGGGGCCAAGGCUCUUUAGUGGAGAAUCAUACUCUGUGUAAGAUUGGGGUUGGGAUUCGCAAAACACUGUUCAGUUAUCUCAACAACCAUGACGGUGUUGUCAUCUAUGAGUUACUCAAGUUCCUUGAAUGUAGAUCUUCUGCUUGAACAAUGACUUGAGUAAAUGGUUUUAAUCAGAUUAAUAUGUAUUAUGUGCUUCCUUUUACAUGAACUAAUGCUACUGUCUUCAAUCUUGAAAGAGCUGUCCUUAAUUCUAAUACUACAAGAUUUGUAAAUUCCAAUUUCUCCUCACACAAACUUUCGGUUUUCUUCAGAUUAAUUAUCUCAUGCUUUAAGGCCUCAUUUUCCCAGGCCCUAAAGCCCUGCUUUCAGUGUUUCUGUAAGGCAGCCGGCUCAUACCUCCCUUCCUGUCCCUGUACUCCAGACAACCCAAAAACUCUAGGCUGUUCCUUGCCUAUGCUGUCAGUUCCCCACAACCCUUCAAGCUGACAUGCCCUUCCUUUUUCUCCAUCUGUUUCUUAUCUCCUCAUAGUCAAAAUGUAUACUUCAUCACGAUCUCAAAGAUUAUCCCCUCCUUGAAGUCUUUUUUGAUACCCCUCACAUGGAACCGAUUUCACUCUCUUGUGAAAUAACCACAAGACUAUGUAUUUGUGGGUGCUUCAUAUGACACUUUGCACUUUAUUGGGUUUCAGUUACACCAAACAUUUCAUAUUUCUCCUCUAGAUUCUACCUACCUGAGGGCAGAGUGAAUCUAUUUCCUAGGCACUUGUAUUACCUUGGGUACUCACAUACUGGUUCAAUGCAUGAAUGAAUAUAUACAUAUAUAUACAGAUCAGUGGUUUGCAUUGAUUUCUUUUCUGGAACAUUUCUAUUUCUUUAUCACAACUAGAUAACUCCAACUGCUUUGAAGCAUUCCAUGUGAUGGAUUACUUUUAUGACUCCAAAGGCUCUCCAGGAGAGGCAGAACUCAAAGAUAAAUGUGCCUAAGGAAUUGCCUAAGAGAAGUCUGCAUAAUCACAAACUACCUCACAUAGAAGUAUCAUGUCUCAGAGAUGAUGAAGCAUGAAGCCAGCAGACAAGAGUAUGGAGCAACCAGCAAAGCUCUUUUAAUGGGUGGAAAGAGAAAGCAAGGACUCCUGCUAGCCAGGAGGGGCUCCAAAAGAGAAGGCUGUCAGGGCUAUGGUGUCUGGGGUUUAUAUUGCCUCCUAAGAGGAGAAAGUCCCACCACACCCCCUGAACCAGAUGGAGAACUGAAUUAAUGACAUCACAACUCCCUCCUGAUUGACUGAAAGUACAAUACUUCAUUUGCAUAAAGCAGCUGAGGUCCGUGUACCUUUGAAAGGCUGAACUUCAUUUGCAUAGGGCACAACCAAUCAGAGCAGCUGAGGUCUAGCUAAGUGGUUGAGUUUGGAUUUUAGGAGCUUUUUACAAGGGUCCUGAACUUUAUCUACCUGUGUGCCACCACCACCUGCCUCAGUAGGGUCUGGAUUUCACAAAGGGUAAGGGUAAUAAUGUUAUAUUUCUGUGUAUCCAUCGUAGUAUUCAGCAUGGUGCUGGCCAUCUAGUAGGGAUUCAAAAAGUCAGUGUUAAUUAGUGAACUUUAAGGAGUAAUUCUGAUUGCUUCAGUGAGCUAUCUCCAGGCUACAGUUACUGCCCCCAGGAUGAGAAGACAAAGAAAGAGACAUGCAGUGCGUCUUUUGAGCAUUGCUGUGCGCUUGCUGUAUCUGUAACAACUCUCCAGAGACAUUGGCCUCAUAAGACCCUCCAGAGGCGUCUCCAAGACUGAGCUUGACAAGUUAGGCUUCUGAGUUGAAGAAUUAAACAAGGGCAGCACAGAAGAUUCAGCAAUCUGCUGUGUGCAGAAAUGCCAGCUCUGGGUCCCUGCCACCUGAGCUGGGGACCCAGCUCUACCACUUACUAAUGCAUAACUUCAUACAAAUCACUCAACCUUUCCUCAUCUGUAAAAUGAGGCUCAUAAUAGAACCCACCAUUGUGCUCCGGUGAGGACUGAAUGAGAGAAUGCGUGCAAAGCAUUUAGAUAAUAGCCCAGCCCAUAGUGAGAGCUCAAUAAUGUUACCUAGUAUUAGCAUAAUUGAGUAAUGACCAGAACUGGAUUGGUUCAUAGACACAGGCUGAGGACUGUAGCCACAGCUUGGAACCCCUGAGACAUUCAGGUGGGCUUCUGUCUUGUCUAAGUCUCUUACCCAAGCCACCUGAAUUUGUCACUGGAUCAUUGAGUGUAAUGACAUCAGACACCUAAACAGGAUUCUCUGCCUUGUUCCUCUUCUGGUUUCAUUUCCAAUAACUCCAUUCCAUACAAAUGUCCUAUUCAUAUUCUUACCGGGCAUCUAGAUUGUCUAAAAGGAAAGGAAGGUGGCAUAGAGCAAAAUGUCAGCUCUAGAAACAACAGGUAGGUUCAUUAAAGGAAAUAAGGCUUUUUUUAAUGGAAGUAUAGUUAAUAUACAAUAUUAUGUUGGUUUCAAGUAUAUAACAUAGUGAUUCCACAAU